UACGUAGGGUGCAAGCGUUGUCCGGAAUUAUUGGGCGUAAAGAGCUUGUAGGCGGUCUGUCGCGUCUGCUGUGAAAAUCCGGGGCUCAACCCCGGACUUGCAGUGGGUACGGGCAGACUAGAGUGGUGGUAGGGGAGACUGGAAUUCCUGGUGUAGCGGUGAAAUGCGCAGAUAUCAGGAGGAACACCGAUGGCGAAGGCAGGUCUCUGGGCCACUACUGACGCUGAGAAGCGAAAGCAUGGGGAGCGAACAGG
rnacentral:rRNA from 1 species